AUACUGACAUUCGUAGAAACAAGAGAUUGUAUCGAGAUAUCAAAGGCAACAGAUUGAUUGUCCGGAAAAUACGAGGCAUAGAGCUUACUUGCUGAUAACUGUGAAUCAGUCAUACAUGUGGACAGAGAGUCGGCGGAAAUGAAUCUGGUUAAAGCAUCAGCCCAUGAAAAUAGCUCGACGACCACAACUAAGAGUAAAAGUGGGCUUCUCCAAAGCCUCAUUUUGCAGUUGAUGGUAGUGAGAAACAGUUGAUUAAUGGAAAAACAGGAAGGUGAAGUCAAAAGAUGAUAUUAAUGAAUAGAAAAGACAGACUGUGAAUUCCAAUGUAACUGAGUCUCAAAUGUAGCUAAAAUUCUCCACAACCAGUUAUUAUUAUUCUUAAAUUAAGUUAGAUUUGAAAACUUAUUAAUUCCAAUUAAAUCGAGGGAUAUAUAACAAUGGGAAUGAUUAACAAAAAUAUAGUUUGCUCUGGGUGGCUGUAUUAUCAUCAAAGAUUCUCAACCCGUUCAAGACAAGUGAUGACUAGAGACAAAUCCCGGUACCUGUUACCUUAGAUCACAGCCAUUUAACAUGGAAAACUACCAGCACACUAACCAGUAAAUAACUGGUAAUUGAGGA